rnacentral:rRNA from 1 species
UACAGAGGUCUCGAGCGUUGUUCGGAUUCAUUGGGCGUAAAGGGUGCGUAGGUGGCGGGGCAAGUCAGGUGUGAAAUCUCGGAGCUCAACCCCGAAACUGCACUUGAUACUGCUUUGCUAGAGUACUGGAGAGGAGAUUGGAAUUUACGGUGUAGCAGUGAAAUGCGUAGAUAUCGUAAGGAAGACCAGUGGCGAAGGCGAAUCUCUGGACAGUUACUGACACUGAGGCACGAAGGCCAGGGGAGCAAACGGG